rnacentral:rRNA from 1 species
AUACGAAGGGGGCUAGCGUUGUUCGGAUUUACUGGGCGUAAAGCGCACGUAGGCGGAUCGUUAAGUCAGGGGUGAAAUCCCGGAGCUCAACUCCGGAACUGCCUUUGAUACUGGCGAUCUUGAGGCUGGAAGAGGUUAGUGGAAUUCCCAGUGUAGAGGUGAAAUUCGUAGAUAUUGGGAAGAACACCAGUGGCGAAGGCGGCUAACUGGUCCAGAUCUGACGCUGAGGUGCGAAAGCGUGGGGAGC